GGGCCCUUUCCAAUUCGACGUAGUGCUGCAGCCUUCUUCGCAAGUUCGCUGUUGAUCGUCCUUCACAAGAACGGUUUGCACCAGUGCUUGUAUACAUUCGAGACCUCCACUAGGACCACUCUAAGAACCUUUCCUCAAAUGAUCUCACCAUAUAAAAAUCAGAUUUGAUGUUCAACACAUGAACAACCUGAUUUUAGAACAAACAUCACA
rnacentral:lncRNA from 1 species